UUUUUUUUUUUUUUAAUAGGAGACACCUUGGUAUUUUCCGAGACCCCUUUAAAAAAAAUCUAUCUGUAUUUUUUUAAUCUCCAGAGGAGGGAGACUUGGCAGCACUUCCUGGAGGGAGGGAUGAGUUGGCUAGGCUGCUGCUGCACCUGUGUGUCUGCGGGACAGGGGACCCCUCCUGGGUCUGCAGCUGAGCCUGAGAUUAUCUCAGCCUUUUGAGUGUAUUUUAGACUCGAAGUUUUGGUGCUUGGUGAUGAAUAAUUGGGGUGAAGGGAAUCCCUUUGCUGUCCCCCCAAAUCGCACAAUCAUGUACUUCCAGUACACAAAGAGGGUCAGAAGCCACUAUCAUGGCUCCUGGUUCUCUGGAGUCCCCGGAGAAAGAGAAAUUUUUUUUUUCCUAUUAGUUUUGCGCUGCAGUGCUCUGGUAGAACAAAUCCGGAUUCCACGAAAAAUGUGGAGGGGGCAUUGAACAAGAGGCCUCUGCAAUGGCAGAAAGCACAGAGAGACCCACUCCCAGUGCAGAGCAGUCUUUCUACAACUCACUGCUCUGAUUAAAAAAAAAAGAAAAAAGAAAAAAAAAGGACCUUAGACAAUGUCCUAUGACAUCUGCGUAUCUUCCUCUGUGGGCUAAGGGGGUCUGGGAUGUUCCUGCUGCCUUACCUUGCUUCUUUGAGGACUACUUAGAAACCCAAACAGGCAACAGAAGCCUGGCCACCUUCCCUCCCUUGGUUCCCCACCCACCCUGGCCACCUCCUCCCAGGAAAAGUGCUGU
rnacentral:lncRNA from 1 species